UGAGGAAUAUUGGUCAAUGGAGGCAACUCUGAACCAGCCAUGCCGCGUGCAGGAUGACGGUCCUAUGGAUUGUAAACUGCUUUUGUACAGGAAGAAACCUCCCUACGAGUAGGGACUUGACGGUACUGUAAGAAUAAGGAUCGGCUAACUCCGUGCCAGCAGCCGCGGUAAUACGGAGGAUCCGAGCGUUAUCCGGAAUUAUUGGGUUUAAAGGGUUCGUAGGCGGCUUUGUAAGUCAGUGGUGAAAUUUCCUAGCUUAACUAGGACACUGCCAUUGAUACUGCAGAGCUUGAAUAAUAUGGAAGUAACUAGAAUAUGUAGUGUAGCGGUGAAAUGCUUAGAUAUUACAUGGAAUACCAAUUGCGAAGGCAGGUUACUACGUAUUUAUUGACGCUGAUGAACGAAAGCGUGGGGAGCGAACAGGA
rnacentral:rRNA from 1 species